UCAAGCUAUAAAGAGCAUAGGGUGGAUGCCUUGGCACCAAGAGCCGAAGAAGGACGUGGUCAGCUGCGAUAAGCCAUGGUCAGCCGCAAGCAGGCAAUGACCCAUGGAUUUCCGAAUGCGGAAACGCGGCACGUUAACAGCGUGUCAUCAUGUCAUGAAUAAAUAGUGACAUGAGGGGAACCCGGUGAACUGAAACAUCUAAGUAGCCGGAGGAAGAGAAAGAAACAUCGAUUUCCUUAGUAGCGGCGAGCGAAAGGGAAAGAGCCCAAACCGAGGGUCUACGGACGUUCGGGGUUCGGACUUGCAAAAAUCGAAGUACUUAUAGACGAAGAGGUUUGGAACUUCCUACCAAAGAGGGUAACAGUCCCGUAGUCGAAAUGAGUACAAGAGGGCGAGAAUCCAGAGUACCACAGGACACGAGUAAUCCGGUGGGAAGACGGGGGGCCCACCCCCCAAGGCUAAAUACUACUUGGUGACCGAUAGCGUAUAGUACCGUGAGGGAAAGGUGAAAAGAACCCCGGGAGGGGAGUGAAAGAGUACCUGAAACCCUAUGUUUACAAGCAGUGGGAGCGAGAGCGACCAUGUACUUUUUGUAGAACGGGCCGGCGAGUUACUGUGUGCAGCGAGGUUAAGUUGUUAAGCAACGGAGCCGAAGGGAUACCGAGUCUGAAAAGGGCGUAAAGUUGCAUGCAGUACACCCGAAACCGGGUGACCUAUCCAUGGACAGGAUGAAGCGACGGUAAGACGUCGUGGAGGUCCGAACCACACGUACGUGAAAAGUGCGGGGAUGAGCUGUGGAUAGCGGAGAAAUUCCAAUCGAACUCGGAGAUAGCUGGUUCUCCCCGAAAUAGCUUUAGGGCUAGCCUCGAUUUAGAUUACCGGGGGUAGAGCACUGAAUGGGCUAGGGGGCCACAAAGCUUACCGAACCCUAUCAAACUUCGAAUACCGGAUAAUUGAUGAUCGGGAGUCAGACAGUGUGAGAUAAGUUUCAUUGUCGAAAGGGAAACAGCCCAGAUCUACGACUAAGGUCCCAAAGUUCAAGUUAAGUGGAAAAGGAUGUGCAAUUGCGCAGACAACCAGGAUGUUGGCUUAGUAGCAGCCAUUCAUUCAAAGAGUGCGUAAUAGCUCACUGGUCGAGUGAUUGUGCGCCGAAAAUGUAACGGGGCUAAACUUGACACCGAAGUCUAGGCAGAAGGAAACUUCUGGGUAGGGGAGCAACGUGUACGGGCAGAAGCAGAAGCGGAAGCGACUGUGGACUGUACAGGAGAGAGAAUGCCGGCAUGAGUAGCGAGAGCAAAGUGAGAAUCUUUGCCGUCGAAAGCCUAAGGUUUCCUGAGGAAGGCUCGUCCUCUCAGGGUAAGUCGGGACCUAAGCCGAGGACAAUAGUCGUAGGCGAUGGACAAUCGGUUAAUAUUCCGAUACCGCCGAGCAACCGGAUGCAGUGACACAGAAGGAUAGGCAGAGCGUGGCGAUGGUAGACCACGUCCAAGCAGUGAGGCUGUUGUGUAGUGAAGUACGCACAACGGAAGGCUGGGCUGUGAUGGGGAACGAUUACGAUCGGUAAGCUGCUGAAUUCACGCUGGCGAGAAAAGCUGCUACGAAGCGAAGGCGCCCGUACCGCAAACCGACACAGGUAGGCGAGGAGAGAAUCCUAAGACGAGCGGGAGAACCCUUGUUAAGGAACUCGGCAAAAUGACUCCGUAACUUAGGGAGAAGGAGUGCCCAGGAAUGGGCCGCAGAGAAUAGACCCAAGCGACUGUUUACCAAAAACACAGGUCUGUGCGAAGUAGAGAUACGACGUAUACGGGCUGACACCUGCCCAGUGCCGGAAGGUUAAGGGGAAAUGUUAGGGCAACCGAAGCAUGGAACUUAAGCCCCGGUGAACGGCGGCCGUAACUAUAACGGUCCUAAGGUAGCGAAAUUCCUUGUCGGGUAAGUUCCGACCCGCUUGUUCCGAAUAUGUGGAAAGUAAAAAAUGCAACUGUUCAUUGGCAUUCAGAAGCGGGAAUUACCAUGAGACAGAUGUAUUCGUCAUUACAUGACAUUUUAGAAGAUACAAUAGGAGGAAAUUUGGAUAUCAUAGGGAAAAGUGAUAUUGGAGAUACUUAUAAUUCCGUACUUUCUGUACUUCAAUUAGGACUUUUGGUAACAUCAUUUUUAUUGUUAUUUGUUUCUGUAUUAGGACAAAUUAACAUAGGGUUAUCAUCCUUGGAACAACGUACUCACGAAUUACUAAUUAGACGGGCGAUUGGCGCUUCUCGUGCGAAUAUUGUUACUUUAGUGUUAGGCGCACAAUUAACUAUAUCAGUGUUUGUUUGUAUUGUUUCAAUCCUGAUAUCCUUUUUCUUGGUUCAAGGCAUGGGGUUAUUUCUGCCUGUGGAUUCUCCCGUAGCGGCACUGGAAUAUCCUAUUCUUUCGGCAGUGGUAGCUGUUAUAACAUCCGUUGUUGUAGCGUUGCUUGGAGGACUAUUGCCAGCGUUAAAAGCUGCAAAGCUUGAACCUGCAUUGGCGCUUAGAUAAAAUAAAUUUUAUAAAAUUGGAGGAAAAACAUGAAAAUAUUAUCUAUGAAAACAACGAUUUUUUUAGGAGCAAUGCUUUCUUUAUUGGUAUGUCUGAUGUUUACAGGUUGUUCAAAUUCUGAAACAAAUUCUA
rnacentral:rRNA from 1 species